GCCGUGAGGCGGGCGGAGGGCGAGGCGAGGCGGCGCGGGCGCUGCUGGCGCUGGGAAGGGGCGCUGUGCUGGGGAGAAGGCGCGGGCUGCCGGGCUCGCUUCUGCGGAGGGAAUGGCGGAUGCCGUGAUCCGCAGUGGCGGCGAGAUGGAACCGGAGCAGCAUCAGCGGAUGGAGAAGACAAGCGCGGGCGUCCUCGGAGUGGAGAGCAGCAGAGCUGGAGCCGCUGAGGACACCACACAAAAUGGCGGACGCUCUGAGAGCGGUAGCGCUGGGGAGGCGCUGCUGGUGGCUGGUGUUGCUGCAGAGGACAAGGUCCCCACAAACCUCAGCAUCAGUAGCAGCAGCCAGCGCAGGAGCAGCAUCUCGACGGCAAAUGAACAGCAGCAGCAGCAGCCGCCCAGCGGUGUGCUCGGGGGGCUGCCCCCUCUCCCUAAGCCCUCAGAAGACCAGCAGCCUGUUAGGAGGAAUUAUCAGAUCCCCAGGAAGAGCAGAGAAAAGAAAGCACUCUUUCAGCCAGUACCUCCAGGUUCUCGAGAAUUUGAGGGUAUUAUAAAGAUUCUGCAUUCUUCCUACUUGGAUUCAAAUUCAGUGUCCAAUUUUAAAUACAGAAAAGCCAGCUUAGUUCAUAGUGAACUGUUGGAAAAGGAAUUCACAGAGAAACGCAGGCAGCUGAAGUCUGAUGGGCACCUGGAGAAGGAGCUCUCGGAAAGUUACGCCUUCCUCAUGGUGGAUCGCUGCCAGAUCCAGAGCAUAUGUGAAAAGGGGCUGCAGGUUGGCCACUCCAAAAUCACAAUUCUCGGCAGACCUUCCAUGGGUGUAUAUAUCUCCAAGUAUGCUGAUUUAUUGCAGCCUAAUCCUCUAGAAUUUGGAGCUACUGGAGAUGUGAUUGUUUUUAAAAUAAUAAAGGGAAAAAUGAAAAGCAUAUAUGACCACAUAGGUAUGAAAGCAAUGGAAUCAACUGUCAAGAGCGUGUUGGAUCCCACCCCAAAGCACGAGUGUCAUGUUUCAAAGAAUGCAAGUAAAGUCACCUCCUUGCUGGCUUACCGAGCCUAUGAGCUCACUCAGUACUACUUUUAUGAAUACGACUUUGAUGAGGUCAGGCAAAGACCAAGACAUGUUUGUCCUUAUGCUGUUGUUUCAUUUACUUAUAAAGAUGACAUGGUACAAGGACCAAAAUUUGGGCCCCCUUCAAGAGCAAACACUUACCACGCUGAUAGAAAUACAGAGACACCUAACGUUACAUUGUGGAGGGGACAGCUGUGGAAUAAAGGCAAACUUGUGUGCCACGUUUCCCUAAAAUCAACAGCACGACUUUUCCUUCCAUGCAGGCUUCCUGAGAAACUUGAGGUUGAAAAAGUUGUAAGCAUUGAUCAGUUGAAGAAAAAGAUUUCACCAGCAUUGUUCUUGAAAGAAACUUACCAAGAAAGAAAAGAAGUGUGGAAGAAUGGCGUGUACUGCAGCCUGUAUGAAGUUGUGGAGAAGUCCCGUUCUGGGAGUCACUUAGAGGGUUUACUUCAAAAACUGGAGAAGGAGAAACUUGUCCUUGUGAAACCACUUGUGGACAGAGGAUUUCUUUUUCUUCUUUCUCCUUGGCAGAUGAUGUCCCCUUACGACCACCAGACUGGACGGUCCCGUGUGCUUCAUGCAAUGUUUCUGUUUCCAGAGUCCAGAGGUGUCAUUAACUCAGCACAAAAAAGUGUUUCAUAUGGAACACAGAAAAAUUCAACUACCACGGUUUUGCAUGAGAAAAAGGAAAUGGUUGCAGAGUUCACAAAGUUGGUUCCAGCUCUGUAUUGUGCUUUGCUCCGGAGCCGUAGACACAGCAGUGUAGAUUACUAUUGUGGAAAAGCAGAUGCUGUUGUGGAAAGGUACAUACAUGAGUACUUCAAAAAACUCUACAAUGGCCCUGGAAGAGGGAGAGAAUUUACAUUUAAUGAGUACAGUACACGGCUGGAUGACAAAAGAUUUCUGCACCCUGCCCCAAAACACAAAGGUGACAUUGACACGUACUUGAAAAAAUACAUUUUCAGUCAGGAGGUCUAUCAGCUCCCCCUUUCCAGGGCUAAGGAACUGCUGGAUAGAAAUAGGAAGCCUCAUCGCUUCAGCCCCCUCUCAGAUUAUGAAGCUACAGAAGACUACUGUGACUUUGCCAAGGCAAAAUGCAGGAAAAGAAUCCAUCCCAAAUAUGAAGCCACUGUUGUCAAAAAAAAAGUGCCUCCUUUUGGAGACUAUGAUACUGAAAGACUCAAGGAUCUUAUUAACUUGAUCCAGUGUAGGAAGAAAAAUGUAGGUGGAGAUUCUGAUUCUGAAGACCCCAGAAUUAGAAGUGGUCUGAAAAGAAAGCUGGAAAAACAAUCUGAAAAUUCUCAGAAAUACCUAAAAAUGAAUGACUCUUCAGAGAAUAUUUGUCAGUGCGAAGGGGGCAGAACCUUGGAUUCACCACACUAUGUGUUCUCAAGCAAUUCUGACCACGGUGGCCACGAGGGUGACUUGGGGCAGGCGGAUGUGUCCGACGCUGGCGCCGAGCAGGAGGGGCUGGUCAGAGCGCUGCUGGACACGCUGGCCCCUGCCAGCCCCUGGGACCCAGCACUGGCACAGUCUGUCACUCAGGCCUUGGCCUCAGGCACCGAGGAGAUCGAAGAGUAUCUGAGACAAAACUAUGGGUAUGAAUCCAUUCCAGCUCAGGACAGGCAGGAUCCGGAGCUUCCCGACGCUGCUCAGGCUGACAGCGUUACCUUCAAGGAGCUGCAGAGCCCGGCCGUGCUGGAAGCUGACAUGCCGGGCUUGCCCUACCCCGUGGAUGUCAGUCUGCAGCUCCCACCCAACGAAGCACCCCUUGAGCACACACUACAUUUACAAGAAGCAAGCUCUGGGAGUGCCUUUGAAGACUGCAGUCCCUGUCCUAGUGCACCUAUAGAACAUGGCUAUCUCAGGCAACAUCCCUGCUCAAAUAAUGUAGGGGAAGUUGGAAUGCACUGGAAACUUAUCCCAAUUACAGGUCUGAAAUCACCAGAAGAGCCACUGGAAUAUUUGCCACCAACGGAUGCACUUCCUAAUGACCCCCGGGUAGUAAAUAGACAGAGAAAUUCUGAUUAUCAAUUGCCAUGCUCUCCAUUUUCAGACACACAGAAGGGGACAGCAGAAGAUGGAUAUUACACAGGACAAGUGGAGAAACUUGAAGAUCAGUAUGAGCUAACAGAUCAACCUCUUACAGCUAAGCAUUCCAUUAGUGCAGUAAUAGAGACAACACUGUUAGAAGAAUAUAAGCUCUUUGCAAGAAAGAUUGAAGAAAUGUUGCAGCAAAAAAACAUUCCUUAUGUCAGUGACAUGUCCACACCAGUCCUUUCUGCCCAGGAGAGGAUCAUGAGACUUUCUGAACACAUCUGUUUGCAGGCAUCAGAGAUUUCUGUCCAAGAAUACAUAGAGAGCCUGAUUGAGAAGUUGAACAAUGUCAUUUUGGCUUCUUCAUGCGUGAAGCAGACUCCCCCAGUUUAUUCUAGUCCUGAAGCACUGGAGAUGGUGAGCAGCACUGCCCCCGGGGGGCCCAACACGCUGGCUGUGUGCCCAGAGCCACUGUGCAGUGACCUGGGGCAAGAGCUGCAUUCUCAUGAGCAGCCCUCAGCAAGCCUGCCCCCAGGGAAGGAGAAAAUGAGUCAUGGGAAUGCUAAACCAGAGGAUCAGACUUCUUCUGGUGGUGAUCUCAUGGAACCACCAGAAAAGAUGCAGAAGUCCCCUAAGAACUUAAACAUUUCAACUCAACCAUAUUUUUCUAAUCUUAUGAGCAAGUUAAAACCUGAAGUACUUACCCAGCUGGUCAAAAUAAUAGAAGAUGUACAGAAAAACACUCUCAAAUUUUAUAUUCAUGAAGAGGAAGAAAGUGUUCUCUGCAGAGAAAUCAAGGAAUAUCUUAAAAGGUUAGGGAACACCGAGUGCCAUCCAGAGGAGUUCCUUAAAAGAAGAGAUAAUUCAGAUAAACUGUUGAUCAUUAUCCAGAAUGAAGACAUUGCCAAUCUCAUCCAUAAGAUCCCUGGCCUGGUGACUCUGAAGAGGUUCUCCUGUGUCAGCUUUGCAGGGGUUGAUAGUUUGGAUGAUGUGAAAAAUCACACUUACAAUGACCUGUUUGUGUCUGGAGGCUUUGUUGUGUCAGAUGAAUCUGUCCUUAACCCAGAGUCCAUCACUACAGAUAAACUAAAACAGUUCCUAACAUUUCUGGAGGAUCUCAAUACCCCAGAUGGGAAAUGGCAAUGGAAAGUCCACUGCAAAAUACAAAAAAAACUGAAAGAGCUGGGGAGGAUGAAUGCCAAUGCCCUGGACCUGCUCACCCUGCUGAACACCUAUGAGAAGAAGUACUUGGUUGAGAUUCUGUCUUACCAUAACUGUGACUCUCAGACUCGAAAUGCUCCAGAACUUGACUGUCUCAUCAGGCUUCAGGCUCAAAACAUAAAACAGAGACAUGUUGUCUUCCUAACAGAAAAGAACCUCCAGACGCUCUCGAGCUACGUUGACAAUGGCAUAGUGGUUGCUGCUGUUGAUGACUUCAUGCGUAACUUUAAAAGUCUCGUUGGGUUUAACAACACUGUUACUGAGCAGAACCACCUUGCUUCCUGCAGUGCUGGCCAAAGACAAUCAGAUGCUGUUUUGACAUUGUCCCCUUUGGAGCUGGGAGUUGGGAUUUCCCAGCACUAAAUAUGAGCACGCUGUGCAGAAGCUUUUAGCACCAAGUAACUGGACACUCCUACAGAGGGUUGAGUGUGUGUGUUGAGUAAGUGAACACAAGUGGCAGAAGACCAAGACUUAAAGUGCUGGUGGACUGGCAGACCUGAAGUGUAACACUGCUUCCCCAGGCAGCAGCCCCAGGCAGCAGCUGUGGAGUUGCUGCAUUGCUCACUUUGCUGAGACUCCUGGCUUUUGGUGCUCAUCUUCAGGUCCUCCAAAGUCCUGGGUUUGGGGGACUUCUGGUUGUAAUUGGAUUUUAGUGCUUUUCUCUGGGAUGUGCUGUUUGGUACCAGAUAGGACCUGCAGAAGGAAACUCAGAGAGGAAAGGGUAAAACACAGAAGACUGGAGAUCCAAAUCAAGUUACCUUACAAUUUGGAGCUCCGUGGCUUGUGACCCUUAAUUGACACAGUAUUCCAGCCUAUGGGAUUUGUAACUGAUGCCAUCUGAUGUCAGCCAUCUGUGACUUCCUGUAACAUGUGGUUUAAUAAAAUGAAAGGAGCCCAAAUAAAAAUAAUAAACCCCACUUUACUCCUACUUGCACAGGAAGGAGACAGCACAAGCUCCCCAGCAAAUGUCAGGGGGUUACAGUUCCCUGACUCAGGGGGUUCAAGGUGCAGGAGACUUGGCAAGGAAAAUCUCAUUUCCCAACUGCUAUUAGCAGCUGAUCCCACUCCCUCCUGCCUUUGCUGUUGGAAGGAACAACUGGUGCUGUGACAUGUUUCGAGGAGCUGAGCAAUCACAGGGGAUGACUUUCCCCAUGUUGAACCAGUCUGUUUAAGCAUCUACAGGCAGAUGCCACACACUUCAUCCAGAAAAUGCAGAGAAAUCAGGAAUCCACAUUUCUGCAGGCUUUGGAGACUGUUUCUGGAAUCACCUUGUCUUAUGACAACAUGGAAUCUGCUACUGCUCCAAAGAGGAAACAAACAGUAAUAAUUCUACUGUGCCAGAAGGAAGAACAAAACAUCAGACCAAGUGUUUAACCUUCCACAGGGUUAAAGGAGAGAUAGAAAUGCAAAAUCUGUGUUUACCAAAGGUCAAAAUGUACCUUUGGUUUAACUUUUAUAUGAAAGCACUGUGUAAAGCUCAGCAACAGCUAUGCAGGAGAACUUGAUGGAGAACUUGAUGGAGAACUUGAAAGACUUUUAAAAUGCCUUUUCCAGACUAUAUCCUAAAUCUUUAAUUCAGACUGAAAGCACUUCACUUGGAUCAACUUCAUGGUACUGAAGCACCUUAAAAGCAUCAAGUUACCAAUAACAAGACAUGGACCACAUACUUCAAGGUAUUUUUUAAUUUUAAAUUUGCAUUUUAAAAUGGAUGUUCCUGCACUAUUUACAACUACAUUUCUGGUUUUGCCAGUUCUUAUAAUUUCUCUUCCUGAAAAGGCC